UACAGAGGGUGCAAGCGUUAAUCGGAAUUACUGGGCGUAAAGCGUGCGUAGGUGGUUUACUAAGUCAGGUGUGAAAUCCCCGGGCUCAACCUGGGAACUGCAUUUGAUACUGGUAGGCUUGAGUGUGGUAGAGGAUAGUGGAAUUCCCGGUGUAGCGGUGAAAUGCGUAGAUAUCGGGAGGAACAUCAGUGGCGAAGGCGGCUAUCUGGACCAACACUGACACUGAGGUACGAAAGCGUGGGGAGCAAACAGG
rnacentral:rRNA from 2 species